AUCUAGAACACACAAGUCACAAAAAGAUAAGGACUAUUGGUUACUAUGAGAGACUUCAGAUCGUCCAUAACACACAAGUUUGUAUCUACAUGCACAAAGUGCAAGCUCCAAAACACUCGAAACACCAAAUGGUCUACAAGACAAUAAGGUCCAUGAUUACAGGUUGGUUGGUCCAUAAACGCUAGAGAGUCAUCCUGUCCAUGUGCAUGAAUAGGUUGAGUACCUGAAAACAUUUUGCACAAAUUUGUCAAGAAAGUGGAACCAGAUCAAGUUGUUAAAAUCUCAUAUGGGUAUUAAAAAUAUUCGAUCAAAAGAUUAUCAUGAUAUCAUAGUUAACAAUAUAGUUUCUAUAAAAGUUAUAAUCAUCUCACAUGCUAUUAUAUAGAACUAUGUUCCAGUGCUUGUAAUUUUAUCAACAAUGAAUGCAUUGAGCAUCUUAAACAAAGAUUGUCAUGAUAUCAUAGUUAACAACAUCGUUUCUAUGUGGUUACUAGUCGAUUGCCCGUGCGUUGCCACGGAACAUAAAAAAUGAUUGAUGUGUGUGCUCAUUAGUCAAGUCCAACAUAGACGGAAUUCAUGUUUAUAUGGUGGAAACCACUCGUGUGUUGUCCUUCCGUGCCCUCCCUCUCUCAUAAUCACUAUGCACACAUGAUAUGUACUUUGUAAUUUUUGAAUGCAUGUGUCGCAUAUGAUUUAAAGUUGUGUUGCGACAAAUAUUACCUUGGGUUUCCUUCCUUCAUACAAUGAUCACCACACACCCCUUAUGU
rnacentral:lncRNA from 1 species